rnacentral:lncRNA from 1 species
GGCCGGGCCCGGCUCGGGGCGCUCCCGGCUGAGCCCCGGGGGCCCGCGGCCGCCUCAGCGCCCCCGGCCCCGCUUCCAGCCCGCCGCCAUCUUGGGCGGCGCCUUCCCGGCGUGCCCCGCGCGGCGGCCGCGGAGGACUGACGUCAGUCCUCCUCCGCCGGGAAGGGCGGGGCCACGCCCGCUCGAUUUGCAUAACCACGCCCUCCCGUGCGUGACCACGCCCCCUCGCUCGCCGACGCCCGCCGCAGCGCGCUGACGUCACGCGCCGCGGCGCUCUCGUAGCCAUGGCGGCCGUGGAGGGAGGUAGGGCCCCUCGCCAUCCGCCGCCAUCCGCCGCCAUCCGCCGCCAUCCGCCGCCGGAGCCGCCCCUGAGGGCCGCAGGAGGGGUCGCAGCCUCCCCUCCGGCGGCCGUGGAGGGCGUCUGAAGCUGCGCGGACCCAGCGGGGCUUUAACUCCCGAUUUCUGCACCUCUUGUACCACGAUGCGCUGGGCGGAGGGAGGAGCGGUGGCUCCAGCCCUGCCUUGGCCUCGCGAGGUUCCUCCCGUGCCAGUAUCGCAGCUGUAAAGCCGCCCGCCAAGCCGUGGGCAGUGAUCUGAGCCCCCGAAUCACGCUGUGCCCGGAUCCCGCGGAGGAGGAACGCCGCAGCCCGUGCCGAGCGCCCGCCUCGCGUUGGCACCCGGACGCGCUGAGGAGCUGCCCGGCGCCAUGGGGUGCUCGUGAUUUGAACCCCGCAUUCUGGGAGGGAGAGGGUUGGGGUGGGAUCCCCCCACCCUCAGAGCGGAGGCCGCCGCUCUCCGGAGCGCCCAGCGCCGAGUGUGAGGAGGGGUGAGCGCCGUACCGAUGUUUUGGGGUAAAACCUCUCCUGUUUAGCACUGUACAGCGCCUGUCAG